GGCUUGUGACAUGACAAUGGUGGGAGCGUGUACUUAAGAAGUCAGAGAAGAGACAGGAAGCAAGAUACCUGAGAGUGUCAGGCUUGUUCCUGGUACAACAAUCUGCUCUUUUAGAACUAAUCUAGGCUUCAGCCACUCACCAUGAAAGAGUAUUAAUCCAUUCAUGAAGGUGCAACACACAUGCCCUAGUUAACUUCCACUUUCUUUUUUGUUAUUUUUGUUUUUCUUUGGGGUACCUGGGAUCGAACUCAGGGUCUUGCACUUUUGAGGCAGGUGUGGCACCACUGAGCUAAAUCCCUGGCCCUUAACUUCCACUCUUAAAAGCUUUCACCAUCCCAACACUGCCAGCUGAGAACAAAGUUCCCAGCACACAAAGCUUUGGAGGACAAGCCACAUCCACACUAUAAAAUGUGGUCUGGAUUUCCUUCAUUCAUUACUAAUUCAAUAAAUGUUUAUUUAGAAUCUACUCCAUGUCAGGACAGUUCUACAAUACUGAAGUCACAACAUCAAAAGCUCUUUUUCCCUCUCCUGCAAAAUAGGAAACAGCCUACAUGGAAAGAAAUUUGAACAGGAAGACAGAUAGACACAAGCAGACCAUCAUGUAAAGAUAAAGAUAGGAAUCAAGAGUGAUGCAUUUGCAAACUAAGAACACGGAAGAAUCCCAGUAAAUCACCAGAAGUUAGGAAAAAGUCAUGGAAUAGAUUCUGCCUCAGAGCCUCCAGAGGAAUCCAACCCUGCCAACACCUUCAUCUUGG
rnacentral:lncRNA from 1 species